UGGGGAAUCUUGGACAAUGGGGGAAACCCUGAUCCAGCCAUGCCGCGUGAGUGAUGAAGGCCCUAGGGUUGUAAAACUCUUUCGGCGGGGACGAUAAUGACGGUACCCGCAGAAGAAGCUCCGGCUAACUUCGUGCCAGCAGCCGCGGUAAUACGAAGGGGGCUAGCGUUGUUCGGAAUUACUGGGCGUAAAGCGCGCGCAGGCGGUCCUUUAAGUCGGGGGUGAAAGCCCAGAGCUCAACUCUGGAACUGCCUUCGAAACUAGAGGACUUGGGUACGGGAGAGGUGAGUGGAAUUCCGAGUGUAGAGGUGAAAUUCGUAGAUAUUCGGAAGAACACCAGUGGCGAAGGCGGCUCACUGGCCCGUUACCGACGCUCAGGCGCGACAGCGUGGGGAGCAAACAGGAUUAGAUACCCUGGUAGUCCACGCCGUAAACGAUGGAUGCUAGCCGUUGGUAAGCAUGCUUAUCAGUGGCGCAGCUAACGCAUUAAGCAUCCCGCCUGGGGAGUACGGCCGCAAGGUUGAAAC
rnacentral:rRNA from 1 species